rnacentral:lncRNA from 10 species
CUUUAACCACAGAGAGACUGCGCAUUGACACUCAAACCACCUGUGUCCACCUCUUUGUCAUUUAAAUCCUCCCUCUCGGACCUGCCUGCGACCAGGCACAAAUCGGUGCAGGCAAAGUUUUGCUGCAAUAGGUCCUUGCUCUGUCAGAUGAAGGUCUCACCUGAAAAAGGCCGAGGCUAGCAACAUGUGGUAAGAUACUCUCUCACUAUGCUGGGCAGCAGCAGGAGCCUCAGCUCACAGUCAGCCACAGGAUCACAAAGAGCUCAUCAAAUUGUAAACUUCCACAUGGACCAUUAAAUCCCCAUCCAAAUUAUGCUGGGAUUUAAGUCUGGCAGCUAUGAGAGAAGGUGAAUUCAGAUUCCAAGGGAGGUAUCUGUUGUUCUGUUGGGGACAGCCCUGUACCAAGUCUUAUGAAACUGGAGAAUUCCUAGCUAUUAAUAGGCUGCUAGAAUUUUUUCAGCUGAGACCCUGCAUAACAGACCUACCUUGACCAUUUAAAUGAUUCUGAAUCUCUGAGACUGCAUCAGAUUCUUACUCUACUGUAUUAGUCUGUUCUUACACUGCUGUGAAGAAAUGCCCAACACUGGGUAAUUUAUAAAGGAAAGAGGUUUAAUUGACUCACAGUUCUGCAUUGCUGGGGAGGCCUCAGGAAACUUACAAUCACGGCAGAAGGUAAAGGAGAAGCAGGUGUCUUCUUCAGAGGGCAGCAGAACAGAGAGAGUAGUGUCCUACAGACGAAAUUGCCUACUAUGUCUUCCAUGUCUCCCAGGAGCAUGCCUGCCUUACAACCCUUCAAGUGUUCAGUCAUUGGCUGGGGGUGCAGCCGCUGAAGUUACUGCUUGGUUAGCUUGGUGGUCAGCUGAAGAUUUGUGAAAGAUUUUCUUAAAUACAUAAGGAGCUCUAUGUGUAUAUUUCAGCAUGCCUUAAACAUUUAUGCUAUUCACAAUUCUGUGUUGGCUUUUGUAUCUUGCCUGCAAAAGUCCUCAAGGUCGUUCAGAAUGAAAGAGUUGACCCCUUGCAUGUGGUUCCUGGCCAUGCACACAGCCCUACACAGAAGUUACCUUUUAGAUUCCUUGGAAAUUUUCAGGUUUUAAAAACCCUACUAUAGUUGUCUUCAGAUUUUUUUUUUUAAAUUUUUUGCCAGACCCUUCUUUGUCCUAACUUGUAUCACAGCCUCAGGGAACAGCAAUGUUUAUUAACUAUUCCUAAUGGUUUUUAGGAAAUUUUUUGAGGCUAGAACUUUUCUCAUAGAACAAGUUCUGAGUCAGAUUAAAUAAUGACAGCACUCUGUAAAGGGGGUUUUUCCAGGAAGCUGAAAAAGAGGUAAAAUAGUGAAAGUGUUCUGGAGGUGGGACUUUUUGGGAAGCUUCAAAUAUGCUCUGCCCUCUGUAGGCUGAAAAUCUCAUUUUUACAGCCACCAUUGUUGUAAGACUGCUCUUUUCAAGGCUACUGUGGAGCUGGGCAUGGGGAUUAGAUACUGGCUAAAUUAAAACAAAUAAACAAAAAAUCUUGCUAUUCUUGCUGAGAUUGAUUAUUUUUUCUUAAAUAAAUGUUCCUCAGAGUGUGGAAGUAUUUUCUUAAUUUUCAGAACUCUGAAAAAGUUGAUUUUGACAUGUUUCUGCUAGUUUUUUUUGGGGGGGGCAGAUAUAUUUAUGAAGAUCCUCACUCUACAUUCUUCACCU